UACGAAGGGUGCUAGCGUCGCUCGGAAUCACUGGGCGUAAAGGGUGCGUAGGCGGGUCUUUAAGUCAGGGGUGAAAUCCUGGAGCUCAACUCCAGAACUGCCUUUGAUACUGAAGAUCUUGAGUUCGGGAGAGGUGAGUGGAACUGCGAGUGUAGAGGUGAAAUUCGUAGAUAUUCGCAAGAACACCAGUGGCGAAGGCGGCUGUCUGGUCCGGUUCUGACGCUGAGGCGCGAAAGCGUGGGGAGCAAACAGG
rnacentral:rRNA from 1 species